ensembl:lncRNA
UCUUAGAGGCCCGCACACAGUGCACCAGGCUAUCGAUGUGGUAGAAGGUGCAGUGGUCCAGGGACCAGUCCAGCCCGUGCAGGUGCCUGACCACCAACUGGUCAGCGUAGAGUAUGCACAGGCAGCCCUGGCCAUGCUCUCGCACUUCCGGGAGGACACUCAGCAUGGUCCCUGGGAUCGCCAGGAGGUCCGCCAGCAGGGCCCCCCAACGCAACCUCGUGAAGUUACAGUAAGAAACAAAAGACACCUCCCUGCAGGAAGACGGAAAGAAAGUCAGCAGCCUGAGUGCUGUCCUGAGGAAGGCAGGCUGGCGUCUGGGAACUGGGGGCUGUAGUGGGGUGAAUGGGUGGCUCCCAGAUGCUAUGUCCAUGUCAUGACUUUAGAAUCUGAAAAUGGAACCUUAUUUGGAAGUAGGUCUUUGCAGGUGUAAUUGGUUACGAAUCUGGAGAGGAGGUCAUCCUGGAUUGGGGUGGCCCUAAAUCAUUGAGAGCGUCCUUCUAAGAGACACGGACACAGAAGAGAUACCAGGUGAAGAUGGAGCCAGAGGUGGGAGGGAGGGGGCCACAAGCCCAGGAACACCUGGAGCCCAAAAAACUGGAAGAGGCAGGAAGGACCCUGUGCUGGAGCCUCUGGAGGGAGCGCAGCACUGGGACACCCUGACCACAGACGGCUGGUCUCCAGCCUGAGAGGGCACAGGCUUCUGUUGUUCAGAGCGUCCGUGUAUGGUCAUUUGCCACCGCUGCCUCAGGAAGCUCAUGUAGCUGGUGGGAAGCUCCCUGCCCUGUUCUAAAGCCUCUCUCCCAUUAGGGGCAGGCCCCUGCACCUAUGCUAUUUGCACUAACCAUGAGGUUCUCGCUGAGCCCUGGCUCCCCUUCUGGGCACUGGCAUUUUGGAGAGGGAGAGCAGAAACCAUCACGUGACCAGCCCCCAGCCGGGUGCCAAGUCUCCAGUGAGCUUCCCUGGGGAGUUGGGGUGGGGGUGACUGUCAGGGCUCUGCCCUUUGUCACGGGGGAAGAGACACCCUAGACACCCUCAAGGAGGGAGAGACACGAUGGGUGAGUGACCAGCUCAGGGCCCCCACUGGUGCCUCCCCACUGUGCCCUGAGGCCUGUCUCAGCUGUGAGCACCCCAACCAGUGCUGAGCCCUGGAGCCCCCCAGCGGGCUCCGCCCCUUCCUCCACCUCUAGUAGGUGGGACACCCCUUCCCCUUGUCACUUCUAGAGCACUGCAGCCCCUGCCCCCUUUGUCCUCUUCUAGUUGGUGGGACACCCCUUCUUGUCAUUCCAGGAGCGCUGCAGGCCUCACCCUCUUCCUCAGUGUCUAGUAGGUGUCACACCCCUUCUCCUUGUCACUGCAGGAACAGCUCUGGAGCUGGUGUGUGAGUGGUUCUGGGCUUUGCAGGCUGAGCCCCUGGUUCUGUGCCCCCUUCACCUCAUGAGCACUAAGGCAAGCUGUCUGCCCUGCUGCCUGAAUGCUCUCACCCCAACUCAGUAUUCUCAGGGAAGGAUUAGGGGCUUCUGUAGCAGCAUCUGAACCCUCCUAUAAUAGGGGUGUCCUUGUGCACAACCCUUUAACCCCAACCUUUAGCAAGAGGUAACAAAAGUCUCUAAGGUAGAGGUUCCAGAGAGAAUGGUAGCUACACAAGCAAAACUAGAUGGAACCAGCUGGGACCAAGCUGGCAAUGAAUCUGACUUCCAGCAGACAUUGUGUGUUGAUUUUACUGUAUUAUUGAUGUAGGAGAUAGAUGGGCUCCAGAUUAGACAUAACUGGCCUCCUGUUUGCAUUUCAUGGGACACGAAUAAGUGUACUUCAUUUCACGGUGGAUACUUACAACUGUUAGCAUUUCUGAGGGAAGAGUUGGAUAGGCUUCAGUCUAGGUAUUUACAAUCAGCCUCCUGGUUGCCCUCUGAAAUGGAAAUAACAACAGAGAGUAAAUAGCCAGUGUUUGUCUCUUGCAAACACCUUAAGGUAAUAGUCAUGGCAAGGAUAAAGAGGGGGGCGCAAAAUCCUGUAUGAGUAGAGCUCAGGGAUCUCUGCCCACCACUCUUUUGGGACAAGGGAGACACUGCGCGUGCACAGAAAGUCUUCUUAUGGGUCAAAACUCAAGAGAUAAUGCCAGGAGCAGUGAGUCUUGCUUUUCCCAAAAGACUUCACUUCAAGAUUCAUCCUGGCUCAAGAGUGAGUGUGCACCCAGGGGAGGGUCCCAGGGUAGGUCAAGUGUGGACAAAGAAGCCGGAUAAUUAGCCUGAAGGAAAACAAAGACCCGGAAGAAAUGCCCCAUGUAGAUGACUUAACCAUCUCUUUUCUCUGCUCCUCCUCACUAGGGGGGACGCCCACACCCUUUCUCUGCUGGGCUUCUAUCUUAACAAGCCAUUGCUCCAUGUGCUUCCCCACUUGUUAUUCUCUUUAUGUCUCUAAAAAAUUUAUACCUGAAUUUACAGUUUCUAUUUCUGUGAUAAAUACACUUUUCACUGUGGGCAAAGAUCCAGGGAAAAAUGGCUUCUAGCUUCUAGCCCUUGCCUAUCUGGUGGCUAGGAUUCACGGUUCUCAUCCAGGCUUCCCAGUUUCAAUUCCUGGGCAGGGAAUUAAGAUCUCCUUUCAUGUCACCACUGGCUGCUAACUUGAUCUUUAUAUUAAGUGACACACCUACCAGUGGCCGUACCCAACGUGAAGAACCAAAAAAAGGUAAACAUGAGGUGGCCCCCUGCUAAUUUGGAAAAGCCCUGCCCUUCCCCUAAACGCACCUGCCUCCCCAGCAUUAGCCUCACUCCUCCUCCCAGUGUCUUUACUGUUUAAAAUCGAACCACUUUCUCCAGGUGGGCGAGAAGUUGAGCUGAGAACUUAGUGCCUGCUUCUCUGUUCUUUGGCGUCUGAGUAAAGCCCAUGCUGUGUUGCUCUUGGCUUUGAUUUCAUAAUUGCCUACUUGAGCCCAAGUGGAAAAAGGAAGCCUUCCCUGUUGAGGCAGAGCCUUGGCCAGGCCAGGGCCUGAGCAGGGUCCAUAGGACAAUUGGUGAGAGUCUGUGAGGGGACGGUGGUCUCUGUCGGUGGGGUGGUGGAGGGCACGCCCACAGCUACAGCACUGGCUCCGUGGAUGAGCGUCAGGGCGCAGAGAUGAUGUGAGCCAGGCCCUAGUGAGGGCCACAUUCAGGCUGUCGUGAUGACCAGAGUCAGGGCCCAGUGAGGGCCAGAGCCAGGCCUAGAAAGGGUGAGAUUCAGGCCCUAAUGAGGAUGAGUGUCAGUGCCUAGUGAGGCCCUGAGUAAGGCUGUAGUGAGGACCAGACUCAGGGUCGGGUGAGACCCACAGUCCUAUCCCAGUGGGGCAGAGUCAGGCCACAGUGAGGACCAGAGUCAGACCGUAGGAAGGACCAGAUUCAGGGCCCAGUGAGGACGCAAGUCAGGGCCCAGUGAGGCAAAGGGUCAGGCUUAUUGAGGCAAAGAGUCAGGCCAUAGAGAGGACCAGAGUCAGGCCAUACGAGGACCAGAUUCAAGCCAUAGAGAGAACCAGACUCAGGACUUAGUGAGGACAAGAGUCAGUGCGUAGUCAGGAUCAGAGUCAGUUUUUAGUGAGGACCGUAGUCAGGCCAUAGAGAAGCCUUGUCAGGGCAUCGUGAGAAGCUGUGUCAUGCAAUAGAUAGGAAUAGAGUGAGGCUGUAGUGAAGACCAGAAGGAGGCUGUAGUGAGGGGCAUAGUGAGGACAUAGUGGGCCAGAGUGAGACCAUAGUGAUGACAAGAGUGAGGACACAGUGGGGACCGGCGUGAGGCUGCAGUGAGGGUGAGAGUCAGGCCCCAGGAAGCAGGUCAGAACCCAGUGAGCGUGAGAGUCUGCGCCAAAGCGGAGCAGAGUCAGGCUGCAGUGAGGACCUGAAUCACGGCCCAGUGAGCAAUCGCGUCAAGGUCCAGUGAGGACAGGAGUCAGGCCCAGUGAGGAAAGAGUCAGCCCACAGAGAGGACCAGAGUCAGGCCACAGAGAGCAUCAUUGACAGGGCAGAAUCGGUGCACAGUGAGGAGCAGAGUCAGGUCCUAGCGAGCAUGAAAGUCAGGCCCUAGUGAGGACCAAAGUGAGGCCAUAGCGAGGACCAGAAUCAUGGCCCAGUGAGAAAAAGUGUCAGCAUCCAGUGAAGAAAAGAAUCAGGCCCCAGUGAGGCAAGGAGUCAGGCCAUGGUGAGGAUGAGAGUCAUGCCAGGGUGAGGCAUGUCAGGUCCUAGUUAGGACAAGAGUCAGGCCAAAGUGAGGAUGAGAGUCAGGCCCUAGUUAGGACUGGAGUCAAGCCACAGUGUGGACCAGAGUUAAAACCCCAUGAUGACCGGAUUCAAGGACUAGUAAGGAAGAGUGCCUGGCCCUACUGAGUACAAGGGUCAUGUCAUAGGAUCAGAUUCAGGGCCCAGUAUGGAACAGUGUCAAGCUCCAGUAAGGACAAGAGUCAGGCUCCAGUGAGGUAAACAGUCAGCCUGUAAGUAGACAAAAUUCAGGCCAUGGAGGACAGUCAGGACAUAGUGAGGACGAGAGUCUGACCGUGGUGAGGAUGAAAGUCAGGCCAAAGAGAAGACCAGUGUCAAGCUGUAGUGAGGACCAAAGUUAGAGCCCAGUGAGGACCAGACUCAGGGCACCGUGAGGACCAGAGUCAGCAUCUAGUGAGGACAAGUGUUAGGUCCUAGUGAGGAUGAGAGUCAGGACCUAGUGAGACCAGAGUCGGACUGUAGGGAGGACCAGACUUAGGGCCCAUUGAGAACCACAGUCAGGCCUACUGGGUACCAGAGUCGGACCCCAGUAAGGCAGAGUCAGGUUGUAGAGAGGACAAGUAAUGUCAUAGUGAAGGCCGGAGUCGGACCAGAGUGAGAACCAGUGAGGACCGAUCUCAGGGUGCAGUGAGAACUAGAGUCAGCGUCUUGUGAGGACAAGAGUCAGGCCCCAGUGAGGACGACAGUGAGGCCCUGGGGAGCACCACAGUCAGGUCCCAGUGAGGCCAAGAGUCGGGUAGUAGAGAGGACAGAAUAAAGUUGAAGAGAAGACCAGAGUCAGGCCAUAGUGAUAAAGACAGGCCACAGAGAGGACCAUAGUCACAGCAUAUUGAGAAGCAGUGUCAGAUAAUAGAAGUGUGAGGAGGCUGUGGGGACCAGAGUCAGGCCAUAGUGAGGACCAGAGUGAGGCCAUACUGAGGAUGAGUCAGGCCCUCGUGAGGCCAAGAACCAGGCCCUAGUAGCAUAAAAGUCAGUGCCUUGAGAGGAUGAGAUUCAUGCCAUAGUGGGGCAGAGUCAGGCAGAGUGAGGACCAGAAUAGGGCCAGGUGAAGAAUCAUCUCAGGCUCCAGUGAGGACCAGAGUCAGGCCCUGGUGAGUCAAAAAGUCAGGCUCAAGUGAGACAGAGUCAGGCACCUGAUAAGGCAAAGAGUCAGGCUGAAGAAAUGAUCGGAGUCAGGGGCCAUUCAGGAACAGACUCAGGGCCCAGUAGGACCAGAGUCAGGCGGUGUGGAGGAGUAGAGUCAGGGCCCAGUGAGGCAAAGAGUCAAGCAGUAGAGAGUAAAGAAUCAAGCUGUAAAGAGGACCAGAGUCAGGCUGUAGUGAGGCAAAGCAUCAGGUCAUAGUGAGGCAGAGUCAGGCAGUAGAGCCGACCAGAUUCAGGCCACAGUGAGAACCAGAGUCAGGCUGUGUUAAGGACAAGUGUCAGGCCAUAGAGAGGACCAUGUCAGCGCUCAGCGAGGGCAGACUCAGGGAACACAGGACCAGACUCCGUGCAUAGUGAGCUCCAGAGUCAGGGCAUAUUGAGAAGCAUUGUCAGGGCCUAGUGAGAAGAAAUAUCAGGUAAUAGGAAAAGUGUGAGGAUGUAGUGAGAAGCAGAGCGAGGCUAUAGUGAGGAACCAGAGUGAGGUUGUAGUCAGGAUGAGAGUGAGGCCAGUUUGAGAACAAGAGGGAGGCUGAAGUGAGGACAAGGGUGACGACAUAGUGGAAGACCAGAUUCAGGCUGUAGUGAGGACCUGAGUUAAGGCCUAUUCGAGAUCAGACUCGGCCCAGUAGGACCAGAGUCAGGACCCAGUAAGGACCACAGUCAGUGCCUACUGAGGACCAGAGUCAGGCCUCACUGAGGCAAAGAAUCAGCCUGUAGUGAGGCACAGAGUCAGGCAGUUGAGAGAAGAGUGUCAAGCCAUAGAGAGGACCAGGGUCUGGCUGCAGUGAGGACCAGACAGGCUGUAGAAAGGACUAGAGUCAGGGCCCGAUGAGGACCAGAGUCAGGCCCAGUGAGGCAAAGUAUCAGGCUGAAGUGAGGCAAAGAGUCAGGCCAUAGAGAGGCCUAGAGUCAGGCCGUAGGGAGGACAAGAGUCAGUCAGUUAAGAGGACCAGUGACAGGGCCCAGGGAGGGCCGGAGACAGGCCCUAGUGAGUAUGAGAGUCAGGCCCUGGUAAGGAUUUGAGUCAUGCCAUAAUUAGAACUAGAGUCAGGCCACCGAGAGGACCAGACUCAUGGCCCAGUGAGAAACAGUCCUCCAAUGAGGACGAGAAACAGUCCCCAGUGAGGCAGAGUCAGGCCAUAUUGAGGCAAAGGUUCAGGACAGAGGAAAGAGUCAGGUCAUAGGACGAGAGUCAGGCCACGGUGAGGAGGAGAGUCAUGCUAAAAUGAAGACGAGAGCAGGCUUUAGUGAGAACCAGAAUCAGGCCGUAUUAGGGACCACAGUCAGUUUGUAGUGAGGGCCAGAUUUAGUGCCCAGUGGGUCCAAAGUCAGGCCCUUAUGAAACGAGAGUCAGGCCUUAGUGAGGACCAGAGGCAGGCUGUAGUAAAGACCAGCAUCAAGGCCCAGUGAGGACCAGAUAAAGGGCCUAGGGAGGACCAGAGUCAGGCCAUAGAGAGGACAAGACUCAGGGCCCAGUGCAGACCAGAGUCAGGCCCAGUGAGACAAAGUGUAAGGCUCUAGUAAGGCAAAGAGUAGGCCCUAGAGAGGACCAGAGUCCAGCUGUAAUGAAGACCAGUGGCAGGCCAUAGAGAGGACCAGAAUCAAGCCAUAGUGAGGACCGAACUCAGGGCACAGUGAGGACCAGAAUCAGGGCAUAGUGAGGACCAGAAUCAGGGCACAGUGAGGACCAGAAUCAGGGCAUAGUGAGGACCAGAAUCAGGGCAUAGUGAGGACCAGAGUCAGGGCACAGUGAGGACUAAACUCAGGGCAUGGUGAAGACCAGGGCCAGUGUGUAGUGAGACCAGAAUCAGGGCAUAGUGAUAAGCUGUGUCGGGUAACAGAGAGGAAAAGAGUGAGGAUGUAUUGAUGACCAGGUGAGGCUGCAGUGAGGCCAGAGUCAGGCCAUAGAGAGGAGCAGGGUCAGACUGUGGUUAGGACUAGGUCAGGUCCUUUGGGGGACCAGACUCAGGGCUCAGUGAGGACCAGAGUUAGGCCAUAAUGAUGACCAGAGUCAGGGCCCAGUGAGGACCUGAGUCAGGCACCUGUGACAAAAUAGUCAGGCCCAAGUGCGGGAGAGUCAGGCCACAACGUGGUCCAGAGUCAGCCACAGUGAGGACCAGAGCCAUGGCCCGGUGCAGACCUGAGUCAGGCCCAGUGAGGAUAAGAGUCAGCUCAAGUGAGGACAAGGUCAGGACAAACUGAGGACCAGAGCAGAGCACAGUGAGGACCAGAGUCAGGCCAUGGAGGACAGACACAGGCCAUGGUGAGAAUGAGAGCCAGGCCCUAGUGAGGCCCAGACUCAGACUGUAGUGAGGACCAGUCUCAGGGAGCAGUGAGAACUAGUGUCAGCAUUAGUGAGGACGAGAGUCAGGCUCUAGUGAGGAUGAGAGGACCAUAGUCCGGCCCCAGUGAGGCAAAGGGUCAGGCCAUAGAGAGGGCCCCUAGAGAGAGCCAGAGCCAGGCCCUCAGGGGGAAGAGAAUCACCAGGGAGUGAGCACCAGAGUCCGGCCGGAGUGAGGACGAGACUCAAGUCACAGUGAAGACCAGAGUCAGCCGCAGAGAGAAGAGCAGUCAGGCUGCAGAGAGAGAGUCAUGCCAUAGACAGGACCAGUGUCUGGGCCCAGUGAGGAGAAGACUCGGGGCUCAGCAAGGACAAGAGUCAGGGCCUAGUGAUAGAUAGUAAUAGGAAAAGAGAGGGCAUAGUGAGGGCCAGAGUGUGGCCUUAGUGAGGGGCAUGGUGAGGCCCUAGUGUGUACGAGAGUCAGGCGUUAGUGAGGACGAGAGGCUGAGACUGGUGAGCCAAACAGUCAGGCCCCUUUGUGGCAAAGAGUCAGGCCACAGUGAUGCAAAAAGACAGGUUGUAGUGAGGCAAAGUGUCUGACUCUUCGCGACUCCAUGGACUGUAGCCUGCCAGACUCCUCCAUCCAUGGGAUUUUCCAGGCAAGAAUACUGGAAUGGGUUGCCAUUUCCUUCUCUAGGGGAUCGUCCCAACCCAGGGAUUGAACCUGGGAGUCUGCACUGCAAGCAGACUCUUUACCAUCUGAGCCACGAGGGAAGACCAGAGCCAUUAUAAGAGCUAUGCAAUUGGAUAUUUGAACAAUUUAUCUCCAAUGUGAAAAUAAAAGUGAAGUUUCUCAGUUGUCUCACAUUCUGUGAGACUCCAUGGACUGUAGCCUACCAGG